GGUCGUGAUCGCACAACUGACUCCAGAAAGGCUCUGCAGACAGGAGGUCUGCCACGAGUCACCUGCUCCUGGGGCACACCCCCUUGGACGCACAGUGAUUACGGGGUGGACGGCACGUAUUAAGUGAGGUCAGGUCACGUCUCCGCAGCAGCCCUUGUGAUUAUCAUCUUUGCACAUUCGGUCUCACGGCAGUCUGACAGCACAUUCUGGGUCUGGAAAAAAAAAAUGGAGAAAGAGGUGGUUUUCGUGCAUUUCUAAAGGAAGCACAGAGGAGCGAGGCACUUUUUGCCGGUUUUCAAAUUCAACUGGAAGAUGCCUGUUUCCUGAGAUUUGUGCAGGUCACAAAAUGCUAACUCGGGAAAUCACAGACGACGGUUGGCCGACUUUCCCACCCGCGGACCGAGGGUCCCACCCCGCGCAUGGCCCUCUGGCAUUCCGCCGUUCUAUGAAACAGGUCGAGAUCUUUUCUUCUGACUUUGCGCCUGGGAACACUCGUGGACCAGAAGGUUUAGUUGCUUUUCCAGAAUGUGUCAAUAGGGAGCGCAGCUUGGGCCUGGAACUGGCUAGAUCCUGGCUAAGUAGACCUUGGGGUCUCUACCACUCGCACCUUUGAGGAGAAGAGAGUCGCCUCUUGCUUUCUGUCAAGUAUUUGCCCCAGACUGCUGUACCUGCUAUGAGAUUGCAGGCUAAUGAAGGCCAGACGGGAAGCCUCUGUCUUCUUUUCUUUCAAGAGACCCUGGACCUGUAUCCCAGCUUUGUUCGGAGUCAAGGAGGAAAUUCCUUCAUCGCUAACUUCACUGUCUGAGCCUGAACCAGAAAGAAUAACAUGUGCGAUUUUAACUGUUUUCAGCAUCUGUUAUGACACAAUCCGUGAAGCCUUUUGUUAAUUUUCCUGACGAUUACCUCCCGCUCAUAUCCCUUCCCCACAGCUGUCUGGCCCUUUUCCUGGGCCAGCCCGACACUCUAAAGUAACAGGAUUUCUGAAAUCCCAACUGCGCUCCGUCGCCAAAGACGACUUUGCUCACCGGGGCCCGGCGAGUUGUUUUAAAACACCGGCCCGUGCCAGGUAACAAGGCAAAGAGCUACGACUCUCUCACAACCGAGGGUAAUUCAUCAACUUGGAGGGCGCCAGAUAGAAACGGCGAGAUCCUCAACUUCCUCAAAACCCCUUUCUAGCCCUCCAAACGAAAAGUCUCACGUGCAGAAACAUAUUUGUCACAACGUGGAAAUCUCGCGAGCCAUCACCGCGGAUCCCCGUGUGGAUACUAACUUUCUGUCCCAAAUUGUAAAAUGUAUCGGCACGUGCAGUAAGGCGAUACCACGGUUUCUUAGAACCCGCGUCCCGCUUUAGGGAGAAGUAAAAGUAAGGCAGGGAAUCUUGAGUAUGAGUCUCCUCCUUAUGGGUGGAAAACUGUCUGCCACAGAUUUGGGUAGAUGGAAAAGGUCCCUGACGUUUGGACGGACCGAGUUCCUCAUCUGCAGCCCGGAAGAGGUUUUCCCCGGACGGCGGUGGGGAUGUAGUUAGUGUUCCCAAGAACUCCUUGGUGGAGAUUUUUACGUCUGGGACACGCCUCUCCCAGGUGACUGUGUACUUACGUGCUGAUCUGGAGGAGGACACGUCAGCCACCGAUCCGGAACCUCCUUAUGCCGUUUCUAGACGUACUUCUGUGGUAUUUUGGAGAACAGUAACUAUGUAGGCUCCGCCGUGCACCCCUGGUGUAGCUGUGCGUCAGCAGCCCACGGUAGGCUCUGGGGUCAACAUGAUGUUGGCCUGUUUGGGAUACGAUGGCACGUGAAGCUUUAUGUUUCGAUCCACCUCUCCACGAGAAAGCUUUCUAAAGAGCAACAGUUAUGGCACGUUGUCACAGAGAGGGUCUCAGUAGUUUUUAUUUCUUUUUUUUUUUUAAUUUUUUUAAAUAUUUAUUUAUUUUUGAGACAGGGAGAGACAGAGCAUGAACGGAGGAGGGUCAGAGAG